GGGGGGGGGGGGGGGGGGGGGGGGGGCGGGCAGGGCGGACGGUGGAGCGCCUUCCGGGUGGGUGGGGGUGGGUGAGUGGCGAACGGGUGAGUAACACGUGAGUAACCUGCCCCCUUCUUCUGGAUAACCGCAUGAAAGUGUGGCUAAUACGGGAUAUUCUGGGUCUGUCGCAUGAUGGGUCUGGGAAAGAUAUUGUUUCGGUGGGGGAUGGGCUCGCGGCCUAUCAGCUUGUUGGUGGGGUGAUGGCCUACCAAGGCGGUGACGGGUAGCCGGCCUGAGAGGGUGGACGGUCACACUGGGACUGAGACACGGCGCAGACUCCUACGGGAGGCAGCAGUGGGGAAUAUUGCACAAUGGGCGCAAGCCUGAUGCAGCGACGCCGCGUGAGGGAUGGAGGCCUGCGGGUUGUGAACCUCUUUCGCCAGUGAAGCAGGCCUGCCUCGUUUGUGGGUGGGUUGACGGUAGCUGGAGAAGAAGCGCCGGCUAACUACGUG
rnacentral:rRNA from 1 species